CGAUUUCUUCUUUUGUAUGGCCACCUCUUUUUUGUAGUGGGGUGGAGAUAUACUUCCCAACGAAAUAUAAACAAAUCGCUGAUGUUUAGAAGCUUGAGCUUGAGGCAAAUAAAAUCGAUACAAUUACCAAAGACGCAAAUCAAAUUAGCCUCACUGUCAUUCGUGUCAAGCUCACUCGUCUCCACGGUUGCCAAAAUAUAGUACAGCUAUCUGAUAUCGACUCGCGGUAGCUCUCCUUUGGAGCAGUCACCAUUUUAAAGGCAUCAGCUGCAAAUGCGAAGCGCAGUAAUGACCCAGGAUUCUGAAAGAAAAAGAAAAGAAAAGAAAACCACAUAGGAGUUGAUGAAAAUGAAAGCUUACCUGGGGAAGGAGGAAGAAUAAGAUGCUAACCGUAUAAGAGAUCUCGAUCAAGAACUUGUUUGGGCAUGGUUCACAGAUGGACCAUCACGAAUACCAGUAGUACCAUCUGCCUUUAGCUCGAGGACUACCUGCUUAAACCAGUGUCAGCUGUGCGAGGAAACGAUUGCAAUAGCAUCAACCUCCAUCACAGCAAGACCAUCCCUCACGGGAAGUGGAGUUGGAGCACGUACAGCUACAAGUGAUACACCAGCUAGUACAAAACCUGAUGGCACGUCGCCUUUGGAAUCGCUAUCGGCUACAGUCUGCGUCUUUCCAAAGGGCGAACGGUGGUAUCCUGAUCACAACAAUUACCAGUGAAACAAAGACUCAAGCCAAGAAAAAGAACGUCCCCACCUAUUGUAGAGAAUUCCAUCUCGAGAAAAGGUUUGUUCGCCGCCCUUGCAUCACAGUCGUGAACCGGAAUUCAUAGAGAUCCGUUCGGCGAGCUUAGAAUCUCUCCAAACGCGCCGGCAUUCCAUACCGCGGGCCAACACAUGGCGUCGAUCGAGAACGUAGAAAGUCUACGAGAAGAAGUACACGCAGUCAAGAAUAGUGAACGACGAGCACCACUUGGCAGAGCCGAGGGAAAAGAGUGUAAGACUCGCCCAGCCUCCUCUACAAGACACGGCAAUGCAUAGCUGCAGUAAGACAAUGACGUGAAGCUCAAAGAAAUCUUACCAGUCGGCUUCUGAACUGGCCGGAAAUCCACUUCAUGGGUGGCCCGCCGAUCAUCCAGCGCGUUAGCGUGCUGCCGAGAAAACGCUGCUGGAUCUUGUCGACAUCGCGCGCCCGAGGAGAGCAAUGCGCCAUAAACCCUAGAAAUCGUCCUGGGCAAAACCUUGUCAAACCACGCGGCAAAGUGUAGGGAAU
rnacentral:lncRNA from 1 species